rnacentral:lncRNA from 1 species
UUGGUCUUUACAAAUGCUUUUUCACCAUUACUAUGCAUUCCUGCCUCUGAAGUCCCCUUAAAUAUGAAGCCAAGAAUCUUCCCUUGUCCCAUGCAGCCCUUUUUCUCUGCAUGUCACAUGUCACCCUCCCUUUAUCGGCGGUUCCACUGAAACCAGCUUCCUCAUGCUCAAUCUAGAGACCAAAACUUACCUGAUAUUUUUCUUUUCUUUUUCAGCUCAGUUAAAAAAUAUUUCUCUGUUUUCUUCUUUAGGUGUACUACUAUGGACUACAUACAUCAGAUACUGAGAAAUAUGCAGAGAAGUCCCCAGGCCUUUCAUGUGUAUUCUGGAAGGAAUGCCUGCUUCCAAACAUGGGACUUCUUCAGGGACUGCCUGAUCCCUGCACAAUGCUCCUGCUCCUGA